rnacentral:rRNA from 1 species
AUUGAACGCUGGCGGCAUGCCUUACACAUGCAAGUCGAACGGCAGCACGGGGCAACCUGGUGGCGAGUGGCGAACGGGUGAGUAAUGCAUCGGAACGUACCUUUCAGUGGGGGAUAACGUAGCGAAAGUUACGCUAAUACCGCAUAUUCUGUGAGCAGGAAAGCAGGGGAUCGCAAGACCUUGCGCUGAUUGAGCGGCCGAUGUCGGAUUAGCUAGUUGGUGAGGUAAAGGCUCACCAAGGCGACGAUCUGUAGCGGGUCUGAGAGGAUGUUCCGCCACACUGGAACGUAGACACGGUCCAGACUCCUACGGGAGGCAGCAGUGGGGAAUUUUGGCCAAUGGGGGCAACCCUGAUCCAGCCAUGCCGCGUGAGUGAAGAAGGCCUUCGGGUUGUAAAGCUCUUUCGGCCGGGAAGAAAUCGCACGGGCUAAUACCCUGUGUGGAUGACGGUACCGGAAUAAGAAGCACCGGCUAACUACGUGCCAGCCGCCGCCGUAAGAC